GACGAACGCUGGCGGCGUGCUUAACACAUGCAAGUCGAACGGAAAGGCCCUGCUUUUGUGGGGUGCUCGAGUGGCGAACGGGUGAGUAACACGUGAGUAACCUGCCCUUGACUUUGGGAUAACUUCAGGAAACUGGGGCUAAUACCGGAUAGGAGCUCCUGCUGCAUGGUGGGGGUUGGAAAGUUUCGGCGGUUGGGGAUGGACUCGCGGCUUAUCAGCUUGUUGGUGGGGUAGUGGCUUACCAAGGCUUUGACGGGUAGCCGGCCUGAGAGGGUGACCGGCCACAUUGGGACUGAGAUGCGGCCCAGACUCCUACGGGAGGCAGCAGUGGGGAAUAUUGCACAAUGGGCGGAAGCCUGAUGCAGCAACGCCGCGUGCGGGAUGACGACCUUCGGGUUGUAAACCGCUUUCGCCUGUGACGAAGCGUGAGUGACGGUAAUGGGUAAAGAAGCACCGGCUAACUACGUG
rnacentral:rRNA from 1 species